AGAGUUUGAUCCUGGCUCAGAUUGAACGCUGGCGGCAUGCCUUACACAUGCAAGUCGAACGGCAGCACGGGGGCAACCCUGGUGGCGAGUGGCGAACGGGUGAGUAAUACAUCGGAACGUGUCCUGUAGUGGGGGAUAGCCCGGCGAAAGCCGGAUUAAUACCGCAUACGCUCUACGGAGGAAAGGGGGGGAUCGCAAGACCUCUCGCUACAGGGGCGGCCGAUGGCAGAUUAGCUAGUUGGUGGGGUAAAGGCCUACCAAGGCGACGAUCUGUAGCUGGUCUGAGAGGACGACCAGCCACACUGGGACUGAGACACGGCCCAGACUCCUACGGGAGGCAGCAGUGGGGAAUUUUGGACAAUGGGCGCAAGCCUGAUCCAGCAAUGCCGCGUGUGUGAAGAAGGCCUUCGGGUUGUAAAGCACUUUUGUCCGGAAAGAAAUCCUUUGGGCUAAUACCCUGAGGGGAUGACGGUACCGGAAGAAUAAGCACCGGCUAACUACGUGCCAGCAGCCGCGGUAAUACGUAGGGUGCAAGCGUUAAUCGGAAUUACUGGGCGUAAAGCGUGCGCAGGCGGUCCGCUAAGACAGAUGUGAAAUCCCCGGGCUUAACCUGGGAACUGCAUUUGUGACUGGCGGGCUAGAGUAUGGCAGAGGGGGGUAGAAUUCCACGUAGCAGUGAAAUGCGUAGAGAUGUGGAGGAAUACCGAUGGCGAAGGCAGCCCCCUGGGCCAAUACUGACGCUCAUGCACGAAAGCGUGGGGAGCAAACAGGAUUAGAUACCCCUGUAGUCC
rnacentral:rRNA from 1 species